rnacentral:rRNA from 1 species
GAUGAACGCUGGCGGCGUGCCUAAUACAUGCAAGUCGAGCGAACAGACGAGGAGCUUGCUCCUCUGACGUUAGCGGCGGACGGGUGAGUAACACGUGGAUAACCUACCUAUAAGACUGGGAUAACUUCGGGAAACCGGAGCUAAUACCGGAUAAUAUAUUGAACCGCAUGGUUCAAUAGUGAAAGACGGUUUUGCUGUCACUUAUAGAUGGAUCCGCGCCGCAUUAGCUAGUUGGUAAGGUAACGGCUUACCAAGGCGACGAUGCGUAGCCGACCUGAGAGGGUGAUCGGCAACACUGGAACUGAGACACGGUCCAGAAUCCUACGGGAGGCAGAAGUAGGGAAUCUUCCGCAAUGGGCGAAAGCCUGACGGAGCAACGCCGCGUGAGUGAUGAAGGUCUUCGGAUCGUAAAACUCUGUUAUUAGGGAAGAACAAAUGUGUAAGUAACUAUGCACGUCUUGACGGUACCUAAUCAGAAAGCCACGGCUAACUACGUG